AACGAACGCUGGCGGCAUGCCUAACACAUGCAAGUCGAACGAGACCUUCGGGUCUAGUGGCGCACGGGUGCGUAACGCGUGGGAACCUGCCCUUAGGUUCGGAAUAACUCCCCGAAAGGGGUGCUAAUACCGGAUAAUGUCUUCGGACCAAAGAUUUAUCGCCUUUGGAUGGGCCCGCGUUGGAUUAGCUAGUUGGUAGGGUAAAAGCCUACCAAGGCGACGAUCCAUAGCUGGUCUGAGAGGAUGAUCAGCCACACUGCGACUGAGACACGGCCCAGACUCCUACGGGAGGCAGCAGUGGGGAAUAUUGGACAAUGGGCGAAAGCCUGAUCCAGCAAUGCCGCGUGAGUGAUGAAGGACUUGGGUUGUAAAGCUCUUUUACCCGGGAUGAUAAUGACGGUACCGGGAGAAUAAGCUCCGGCUAACUCCGUG
rnacentral:rRNA from 1 species